rnacentral:rRNA from 1 species
GAUGAACGCUGGCGGCGUGCCUAAUACAUGCAAGUCGAGCGAACGGACGAGAAGCUUGCUUCUCUGAUGUUAGCGGCGGACGGGUGAGUAACACGUGGAUAACCUACCUAUAAGACUGGGAUAACUUCGGGAAACCGGAGCUAAUACCGGAUGAUAUUUUGAACCGCAUGGUUCAAAAGUGAAAGACGGUCUUGCUGUCACUUAUAGAUGGAUCCGCGCUGCAUUAGCUAGUUGGUAAGGUAACGGCUUACCAAGGCAACGAUGCAUAGCCGACCUGAGAGGGUGAUCGGCCACACUGGAACUGAGACACGGUCCAGACUCCUACGGGAGGCAGCAGUAGGAAAUCUUCCGCAAAGGGCGAAAGCCUGACGGAGCAACGCCGCGUGAGUGAUGAAGGUCUUCGGAUCGUAAAACUCUGUUAUUAGGGAAGAACAUAUGUGUAAGUAACUGUGCACAUCUUGACGGUACCUAAUCAGAAAGCCACGGCUAACUACGUG